UACGGAGGAUCCAAGCGUUAUCCGGAUUUAUUGGGUUUAAAGGGUGCGUAGGUGGCUUAUUAAGUCAGGGGUGAAAGACGGUAGCUUAACUAUCGCAGUGCCUUUGAUACUGAUGAGCUUGAAUGAACUAGAGGUAGGCGGAAUGUGACAAGUAGCGGUGAAAUGCAUAGAUAUGUCACAGAACACCAAUUGCGAAGGCAGCUUACUAUGGUUAGAUUGACACUGAGGCACGAAAGCGUGGGGAGUCAAACAGGA
rnacentral:rRNA from 1 species